rnacentral:rRNA from 1 species
UACGUAGGGUGCGAGCGUUAAUCGGAAUUACUGGGCGUAAAGCGUGCGCAGGCGGCUUUGUAAGACAGGCGUGAAAUCCCCGGGCUUAACCUGGGAAUGGCGCUUGUGACUGCAAAGCUGGAGUGCGGCAGAGGGGGAUGGAAUUCCGCGUGUAGCAGUGAAAUGCGUAGAUAUGCGGAGGAACACCGAUGGCGAAGGCAAUCCCCUGGGCCUGCACUGACGCUCAUGCACGAAAGCGUGGGGAGCAAACAGG